UACGAAGGGGGCUAGCGUUGCUCGGAAUCACUGGGCGUAAAGCGCACGUAGGCGGACUCUUAAGUCAGGGGUGAAAUCCUGGAGCUCAACUCCAGAACUGCCCUUGAUACUGAGAGCCUUGAGUUCGGGAGAGGUGAGUGGAACUGCGAGUGUAGAGGUGAAAUUCGUAGAUAUUCGCAAGAACACCAGUGGCGAAGGCGGCUCACUGGCCCGAUACUGACGCUGAGGUGCGAAAAGCGUGGGGAUCAAACAGGG
rnacentral:rRNA from 1 species